AAACACUGUUUAACCACUACUGACCACAUCUCAGGAGAGGUACCAGAGAAACACUAUUUAACCACUACUGACCACAUCUCAGAGAGGUACCAGAGAAACACUGUUUAACCACUACUGACCACAUCUCAGGAGAGGUACCAGAGAAACACUGUUUAACCACUACUGACCACAUCUCAGAGAGGUACCAGAGAAACACUGUUUAACCACUACUGACCACAUCUCAGGAGAGGUACCAGAGAAACA